rnacentral:rRNA from 1 species
UUCGCAAUGCCCGAAAGGGUGACGAAGCGACGCCGCGUGUGGGAAGAAGGCCUUCGGGUUGUAAACCACUGUCGGGAGUUAAGAAAUGCAAGAAUGUUAAUAGCGUUUUUGCUUGACUAAGGCUCCGGAGGAAGCCACGGCUAACUCUGUGCCAGCAGCCGCGGUAAUACAGAGGCGGCAAGCGUUGUUCGGAAUUAUUGGGCGUAAAGAGCACGUAGGCGGCUAUAUAAGUCGGUUGUGAAAGCCUUCCGCUUAACGGGAGAACAGCAUCCGAUACUGUGUGGCUUGAGUGUGGGAGGGGAGAGCGGAACUUCUGGUGGAGCGGUGAAAUGCGUAGAUAUCAGAAGGAACGCCGGCGGCGAAAGCGGCUCUCUGGCCCAUAACUGACGCUGAGUGUGCGAAAGCUAGGGGAGCAAACGGGAUUAGAUACCCCGGUAGUCCUAGCCGUAAACGAUGGGCACUAAGUAGAGGGGUUU